GAUGAAACGCUAGCGGGAGGCUUAACUACAUGCAAGUCGAGGGGCAGCAUACGGGGUAGCAAUACUCUGAUGGCGACCGGCAAACGGGUGAGUAACGCGUAUGCAACCUACCCUGUACAGGGGGAUAACCCGGAGAAAAUUCGGACUAAUAUCCCGUAAUAAUAUCCGGAGGCAUCUUUGGAUAUUAAAGUUCCGACGGUACGGGAUGGGCAUGCGUAACAUUAACUGGUUGGUAAGGUAACGGCUUACCAAGGCUAUGAUGUUUAGGGGUCCUGAGAGGGUGGUCCCCCACACUGGUACUGAGACACGGACCAGACUCCUACGGGAGGCAGCAGUGAGGAAUAUUGGUCAAUGGGCGCAAGCCUGAACCAGCCAUCCCGCGUGCAGGAAGACGGCCCUAUGGGUUGUAAACUGCUUUUCCAGGGAGAGAAACUUACGCACGUGUUGCGUGACUGACGGUACCCUGGGAAUAAGCAUCGGCUAACUCCGUG
rnacentral:rRNA from 1 species